rnacentral:rRNA from 1 species
GGCGCACGGGUGCGUAACGCGUGGGAAUCUUGCCCUUAGGUUCGGAAUAACAGUUAGAAAUGACUGCUAAUACCGGAUAAAGACGUAAGUCCAAAGAUUUAUCGCCUAGGGAUGAGCCCGCGUAGGAUUAGCUAGUUGGUGGGGUAAAAGCCUACCAAGGCGACGAUCCUUAGCUGGUCUGAGAGGACGAUCAGCCACACUGGGACUGAGACACGGCCCAGACUCCUACGGGAGGCAGCAGUGGGGAAUAUUGGACAAUGGGCGCAAGCCUGAUCCAGCAAUGCCGCGUGGGUGAAGAAGGUCUUCGGAUUGUAAAGCCCUUUCGGCGGGGACGAUGAUGACGGUACCCGCAGAAGAAGCCCCGGCUAACUUCGUGCCAGCCGCCGCGG